rnacentral:rRNA from 1 species
UAAUACAUGCAAGUCGAGCGAACGGACAGGAGUGCUUGCACUCCUUGAAGUUAGCGGCGGACGGGUGAGUAACACGUGGGUAACCUACCUAUAAGACUGGGAUAACUUCGGGAAACCGGAGCUAAUACCGGAUAAUAUAUACCUCCGCAUGGAGGAAUAGUCAAAGACGGUUCUGCUGUCACUUAUAGAUGGACCCGCGGUGUAUUAGCUAGUUGGUGAGGUAACGGCUCACCAAGGCAACGAUACAUAGCCGACCUGAGAGGGUGAUCGGCCACACUGGGACUGAGACACGGCCCAGACUCCUACGGGAGGCAGCAGUAGGGAAUCUUCCGCAAUGGACGAAAGUCUGACGGAGCAACGCCGCGUGAGUGAAGAAGGUUUUCGGAUCGUAAAACUCUGUUGUAAGGG